rnacentral:rRNA from 1 species
UUAACACAUGCAAGUCGAGGGGCAGCGGGGAGUAGCAAUACUCCGCCGGCGACCGGCGCACGGGUGCGUAACGCGUAUGCAACCUACCUUUAACAGGGGCAUAACACUGAGAAAUUGGUACUAAUUCCCCAUAACAUUCGAGAAGGCAUCUUCUUGGGUUAAAAACUCCGGUGGUUAAAGAUGGGCAUGCGUUGUAUUAGCUAGUUGGUGAGGUAACGGCUCACCAAGGCAACGAUACAUAGGGGGACUGAGAGGUUAACCCCCCACAUUGGUACUGAGACACGGACCAAACUCCUACGGGAGGCAGCAGUGAGGAAUAUUGGUCAAUGGACGCAAGUCUGAACCAGCCAUGCCGCGUGCAGGAAGACGGCUCUAUGAGUUGUAAACUGCUUUUGUACUAGGGUAAACGCUUCUACGUGUAGGAGCCUGAAAGUAUAGUACGAAUAAGGAUCGGCUAACUCCGUGCCAGCAGCCGCGGUAAUACGGAGGAUCCAAGCGUUAUCCGGAUUUAUUGGGUUUAAAGGGUGCGUAGGCGGUUUGAUAAGUUAGAGGUGAAAUACCGGGGCUCAACUCCGGAACUGCCUCUAAUACUGUUGAACUAGAGAGUAGUUGCGGUAGGCGGAAUGUAUGGUGUAGCGGUGAAAUGCUUAGAGAUCAUACAGAACACCGAUUGCGAAGGCAGCUUACCAAACUAUAUCUGACGUUGAGGCACGAAAGCGUGGGGAGCAAACAG